UACGGAGGGUGCAAGCGUUGUUCGGAAUUACUGGGCGUAAAGCGCACGUAGGCGGCUUUGUAAGUUAGAGGUGAAAGCCCAGGGCUCAACCCUGGAAUUGCCUUUAAGACUGCAUCGCUUGAACAUCGGAGAGGUAAGUGGAAUUCCGAGUGUAGAGGUGAAAUUCGUAGAUAUUCGGAAGAACACCAGUGGCGAAGGCGGCUCACUGGUCCGGUACUGACGCUGAGGUGCGAAAGCGUGGGGAGCAAACAGG
rnacentral:rRNA from 1 species